UACGUAGGGGGCAAGCGUUGUCCGGAAUCAUUGGGCGUAAAGCGCGUGUAGGCGGCCCGGUAAGUCCGCUGUGAAAGUCGGGGGCUCAACCCUCGAAUGCCGGUGGAUACUGUCGGGCUAGAGUGCGGAAGAGGCGAGUGGAAUUCCUGGUGUAGCGGUGAAAUGCGCAGAUAUCAGGAGGAACACCGGUGGCGAAGGCGGUUCUCUGGGCAUGACCUGACGCUGAGGAGCGAAAGUGUGGGGAGGCGAAACAGGG
rnacentral:rRNA from 1 species